rnacentral:rRNA from 1 species
AUUGAACGCUGGCGGCAGGCCUAACACAUGCAAGUCGAGCGGAUGAAGGGAGCUUGCUCCUGGAUUCAGCGGCGGACGGGUGAGUGAUGCCUAGGAAUCUGCCUGGUAGUGGGGGCUAACGUCCGGAAACGGGCGCUAAUACCGCAUACGUCCUGAGGGAGAAAGUGGGGGAUCUUCGGACCUCACGCUCUCAGAUGAGCCUAGGUCGGAUUAGCUAGUUGGUGGGGUAAAGGCCUACCAAGGCGACGAUCCGUAACUGGUCUGAGAGGAUGAUCAGUCACACUGGAACUGAGACACGGUCCAGACUCCUACGGGAGGCAGCAGUGGGGAAUAUUGGACAAUGGGCGAAAGCCUGAUCCGGCCAUGCCGCGUGUGUGAAGAAGGUCUUCGGAUUGUAAAGCACUUUAAGUUGGGAGGAAGGGCAGUAAGUUAAUACCUUGCUGUUUUGACGUUACCAACAGAAUAAGCACCGGCUAACUUCGUG